GUAAAUUUUCUUGAUAACUAUGUAAAUUCGGCACUUUGGAGUAUUUAUUUAGAUGCGAGAGAAUUCUGUAGUUCACCAGAAAAAUUCAAGAACUUCACGAACAAAGACUUCUAAAUCGUUACUUUGAGCCAACUAAAAUGAUUCAAUUACGCAAAUUAUUAUCCAUUAUUAUCGUUGUAGUAUCGAUUCUUCUCCUCUCUUCACAAGUCGAUGUGGCAAGAAUUGCGCGCAGUUGCCAGCGGAUUUGCGAGGAUGGAAGUCGACCGGGUCCAGGAUGCUCAUGCAGCGAGGAUGGAUAACAAAAUAGCCUUUACUAAAAAUAACCGCAAAUCUAGUGCCAAUAUUGCAAUGGAAGUACCAAAGACGACAACAAAGUUAUGUAAUAUAAAUUCAAUUUAUUGGAGAGUAAAAUAAAGCUAUUUGGCACAA